ensembl:lncRNA
CUGCCUGGUUUGUCACUUGGGUCGCCGGAGUUACGGAGCGGUCACGAUUGCCUAUCAGUUCCUUACUUCCGGGGUUAAUGAAAGGUCAGACACGAGCGGCAGACAGAACCGAAAGGACAGCUUUGGACGUUUGAUUUGGGCGAGAGCCUCGCCCAACUGGACUCGAGGGCCUGAUGCCAUCCUCCCAGUGAUGUUAAACCACCUCAGUAGAGGUAACCUACCUGGCAGGAACGCAUGGGUGGAGGCUGGCCGUGGUCAUGGUGAUGGAGUGGCUAGGAUGCUGAUGUUUCCAGUGCGGAGCACAUGUUGCCCCUGUCAGAGGUGUAACCGUGGCACCCAAGUCCGUAUGACAGACCUUACGAACACCUGAUGACAUCAUCAUCAUCAUGAUCAUAGUCAUCAUCAUCUCCAUCGCCAUCAUCAUCAAACUGUAGCCCUUCCCUGGGUCAGGCACAAGUCCAUCUCAAGUCAUGUCACCUAUGGGUUGGUUGCGCUUCCAGGGUUAUGAAACACUGAUGUUUAUGGGGCUUGUGUUCAGGAUGUGGUUCAGGGAUGUUGAGGGUGGUUCAGUGUCAUUAACAAGGUCCAUAAUGUUUACCAGGGCAGACUUGAGGGCCCUUGAGGGGCCACCCACCACCCCGACGUCAUCCGUGACCAGCGGUAGGCCAACUGGGCGAUGUUUGAAACAGGCGAUGAUACUCCAUCGUAUGCUCCCUUUAGCGUUUUAAAGAGGAGUUUCUGUCACUAAUAUGUGAAGGGAGGAGGUUACUUGGUGUAUUUGUUAUUUGUAGCUAUAUGGCUAGAAACAAAACGGCCCUCAAAAAGGAAUUUGAGUAUGUUAAGUACAUUCACAUUGUCCAUUUACUAAUUAAACCGUCGACCAUGAUCAUCAUAGUAAUACCGUCUUGAUAAUGGAGCCACAGUGCAUCCUAUAUGAGAGGCGUUCAUUGGAUAAACGCUAAGUAUCUCUGGUCAGAAUGUAUGUCUGUCAGGAUGACUCCAGUGACUUGUGCUGGCUUUCCCUCAUUAGAUCGUGCAUGGGCCCCGACUCCCCUGACCGUACUUUAAUUAACCGGCUAUUUAAAGCUCAG